CAGCAUUCCCAAGGCGCGGUGGAAUUGGCUCACGGCCUCUUCGCCGGAGCAAAUUUCUUCAGCACUUUCAGUCUUAGUCUCAAGUUUCAUACUACACCAGAAAAAGCAUCCUACUUGUUUGCAUCAUCUUAGUUCUGAAUUGUGCCUGGCGAAAGUGAUCUGUGCUCAACCAGGAAAAUUGAUGAUGUCGAUAACAGAUGCUCAAAGGCCGCCACGCUGGAAACCAGCCGUCUUGUGGACCCUCAAGGGGCUGCUCGCUGCGGCGUU
rnacentral:misc_RNA from 1 species